AUUGAACGCUGGUGGCAUGCCUUACACAUGCAAGUCGAACGGCAGCGGGGGAGAAGCUUGCUUUUCCUGCCGGCGAGUGGCGAACGGGUGAGUAAUACAUCGGAACGUGCCCGGUAGUGGGGGAUAACUAGUCGAAAGAUUAGCUAAUAACGCAUACGACCUGAGGGUGAAAGUGGGGGACCGCAAGGCCUCAUGCUAUAGGAGCGGCCGAUGUCUGAUUAGCUAGUUGGUGGGGUAAAGGCCUACCAAGGCGACGAUCAGUAGCUGGUCUGAGAGGACGAUCAGCCACACUGGGACUGAGACACGGCCCAGACUCCUACGGGAGGCAGCAGUGGGGAAUUUUGGACAAUGGGCGAAAGCCUGAUCCAGCAAUGCCGCGUGUGUGAAGAAGGCCUUCGGGUUGUAAAGCACUUUUGUCCGGAAAGAAAUGGCUCUGGUUAAUACCUGGGGUCGAUGACGGUACCGGAAGAAUAAGGACCGGCUAACUACGUGCCAGCCGCCGCAGUAA
rnacentral:rRNA from 1 species